UACGGGGGGGGCAAGCGUUGUUCGGAAUUACUGGGCGUAAAGGGCGCGUAGGCGGCCUGCUAAGUCACACGUGAAAUCCCUCGGCUCAACCGAGGAACUGCGUCUGAUACUGGAAGGCUUGAAUCCGGGAGAGGGAUGUGGAAUUCCAGGUGUAGCGGUGAAAUGCGUAGAUAUCUGGAGGAACACCGGUGGCGAAGGCGGCAUCCUGGACCGGUAUUGACGCUGAGGCGCGAAAGCUAGGGGAGCAAACGGG
rnacentral:rRNA from 1 species